rnacentral:rRNA from 1 species
UAAGGUGAUAUGAACCGUUAUAACCGGCGAUACCCGAAUGGGGAAACCCAGUGUGACUCGUCACACUAUCAUUAACUGAAUCCAUAGGUUAAUGAGGCGAACCGGGGGAACUGAAACAUCUAAGUACCCCGAGGAAAAGAAAUCAACCGAGAUUCCCCCAGUAGCGGCGAGCGAACGGGGAGGAGCCCAGAGCCUGAAUCAGCAUGUGUGUUAGUGGAAGCGUCUGGAAAGGCGCGCGAUACAGGGUGACAGCCCCGUACACAAAAGCGCAUGUGCUGUGAGCUCGAUGAGUAGGGCGGGACACGUGGUAUCCUGUCUGAAUAUGGGGGGACCAUCCUCCAAGGCUAAAUACUCCUGACUGACCGAUAGUGAACCAGUACCGUGAGGGAAAGGCGAAAAGAACCCCGGCGAGGGGAGUGAAAAAGAACCUGAAACCGUGUACGUACAAGCAGUGGGAGCCCCACCACCAAAGCAUUUGCUGUACCGCGUUGACGGAGCGAAGCGACGUCAAACCGAUAAAACAGCAGUGUAAAGUGAGCCGCAGGGCGCUUUGCGCGACAGCGCAAAGGCAGGCGGUUUCGCGUAGCGAAAGCGAAUGCUUUGGGGUGGGGUGACUGCGUACCUUUUGUAUAAUGGGUCAGCGACUUAUAUUCUGUAGCAAGGUUAACCGAAUAGGGGAGCCGGAGGGAAACCGAGUCUUAAUUGGGCGUUAAGUUGCAGGGUAUAGACCCGAAACCCGGUGAUCUAGCCAUGGGCAGGUUGAAGGUUGGGUAACACUAACUGGAGGACCGAACCGACUAAUGUUGAAAAAUUAGCGGAUGACCUGUGGCUGGGGGUGAAAGGCCAAUCAAACCGGGAGAUAGCUGGUUCUCCCCGAAAGCUAUUUAGGUAGCGCCUCGUGAAUUCAUCUCCGGGGGUAGAGCACUGUUUCGGCUAGGGGGCCAUCCCGGCUUACCAACCCGAUGCAAACUGCGAAUACCGGAGAAUGUUAUCACGGGAGACACACGGCGGGUGCUAACGUCCGUCGUGAAGAGGGAAACAACCCAGACCGCCAGCUAAGGUCCCAAAGUCAUGGUUAAGUGGGAAACGAUGUGGGAAGGCCCAGACAGCCAGGAUGUUGGCUUAGAAGCAGCCAUCAUUUAAAGAAAGCGUAAUAGCUCACUGGUCGAGUCGGCCUGCGCGGAAGAUGUAACGGGGCUAAACCAUGCACCGAAGCUGCGGCAGCGACACUGUGUGUUGUUGGGUAGGGGAGCGUUCUGUAAGCCUGUGAAGGUGUGUCGUGAGGCAUGCUGGAGGUAUCAGAAGUGCGAAUGCUGACAUAAGUAACGAUAAAGCGGGUGAAAAGCCCGCUCGCCGGAAGACCAAGGGUUCCUGUCCAACGUUAAUCGGGGCAGGGUGAGUCGACCCCUAAGGCGAGGCCGAAAGGCGUAGUCGAUGGGAAACGGGUUAAUAUUCCCGUACUUGGUGUUACUGCGAAGGGGGGACGGAGAAGGCUAUGUUGGCCGGG